rnacentral:rRNA from 1 species
AGUGAACGCUGGCGGCAGGCCUAACACAUGCAAGUCGAGCGGCAGCGCGGGGGCAACCCUGGCGGCGAGCUGCCGACGGGUGAGGAAUUCGUCGGAAUCUGCCUUUUUGAUGGGGCUAACGUAGCGACACUUACGCUAAUCCCGCAUACGUCCUACGGGUGAAAGUGGGGGACCGCAAGGCCUCACGCAGCAUGAUGAGACGACGACCGAUUAGCUAGUUGGUUUGGUAAAGGCCCACCAAGGCGACGAACGGUAGCUGGUCUGAGAGGAUGAUCAGCCACACUGGGACUGAGACACGGCCCAGACUCCUACGGGAGGCAGCAGUGGGGAAUAUUGGACAAUGGGCGCAAGCCUGAUCCAGCCAUGCCGCGUGAGUGAAGAAGGCCUUCGGAUUGUAAAGCACUUUUGUCCGGAAAGAAAACACUUGAGCUAAUACCUGCAGAGGAUGACGGUACCGGAAGAAUAAGCACCGGCUAACUUCGUG